AAUCUCCAAACCCAACAGUCUGACUGCAAGCUUAGUCAUACAUCCUCAUCUCAGGAUUCAUCUGGCUUCAUCAGUUGCCUGUGGCACCUCCAGGCUCCACAGAUGAACCUCGCCCUUCAGGCUUCACUGUGCUGAACCCUGACCCAUAGCACAAAACCACAAGCCCUAAUCAGGCCAGAACAUACCUGAGGUGGGUAUAAUCUGAAGGAAGUACCCUUCUGUGGUCUAUUAGAGAAGAUAGAUGGAGUAGAAAAGAUGAUGGAGUAGAGAAAGCAGACGCAGUACUGGUUGGGAAAAAAAAAAUCAAGAAAGCUUUGCUUGACUAAAUUUUAAAGUCAUGAUU